AACAAGAACUCAUCAAGUCAAUCAGAGUGAAACUAAAUAUUCCCUCAUAAUUACAACUCACCCAACCAUUCAGCUAUUUGAAUAAAAUACUAAUUAGAUCAAUAAAUUAAUAACAUAUAUGAGAUCAAGUAACGAAGGUCAACCAGUGGUUUAAUUUUUUUUUGUAAACAAGAAUUCUAAAAACAAAUACGUUAGAUAAACAACAACAGGUAAUAUUUAUUUUAAACUGCGCACAAAAUGUUUAAGAAAAUCUUGAGAAAUAUAAGUCAGCAAUCAAAGUCAGAGCGAACAACAAAAGUUGGCGAACGAAAAAGAGAUGAACAAACGAUAAAAAAACAACCCAUCUCAAAGUGCAAAUGUAUUCCUAAGCUAUGCAAAUGUAAAAAACAUCGAAUGAUUGUUCAACGUCUCAGAGAGCGGCUAAAUCUAGUUCCUGAUAUCAUUUAUUAAACUUAAGUUUUAACUUUGUUGUAAAUUUAAUAGAAAAAAAAACAUAAAAUACAUAUUUACAGUU